AACCCGGGAUAUCUGAUGGACUGCGUUAUCUUUCCAGGCAGCUGGGAGCUACGACUGCAAAACAAGAAGUUUUAUGCUUAGACUUCCAAACUGAACAGCAAGAAUUCCGAUCAGCUGUAUGAGAACUCAAAUAUUAAUAAUGAUUCUGUGAUAAUGUUUGUGAACAAAUAAGGAGGUAUGGCUUGGCUACACACUCAGAGUUAUAUUUCUUAAGAAAACCAAGAAUKAAGUCAUUUUGAUCUCUGAUGGAUGAAAAUUGUUGGAAUGGAAACUAAUAUCUAUGAAGAAGAACUGGGCUCACCUUGUCUUACAUCUGUCAAGUGCCUGGGGACUCCAAGGGAAGCCAAGUAUGAAAAACACCACUCAAAGACAGAAGAACAGGAAAGCCCAUCUCCAUUUCAUGCUGUUUUACUGGAUUCUGAGUCGAGUUUGUCACCUUUGUCACCCGUGCCAGACUACAGCAGGACAUCCUUGGGACCUGACGUGGUUGCUGGCUGUGUGGGAGCCCCUGAUCAGCCUGAGACAAAGCAGCAUUGUGGAGAAUUUUUGAGCUCUGCAGGGCACAAGCC